rnacentral:rRNA from 1 species
CCAGACUCCUACGGGAGGCAGCAGUGAGGAAUAUUGGUCAAUGGUCGGGAGACUGAACCAGCCAAGCCGCGUGAGGGAGGAAGGUACAGAGUAUCGUAAACCUCUUUUGUCAGGGAACAAAGGCGGGGACUAGUCCCCGGAUGAGGGUACCUGAAGAAAAAGCAUCGGCUAACUCCGUGCCAGCAGCCGCGGUAAUACGGAGGAUGCGAGCGUUAUCCGGAUUUAUUGGGUUUAAAGGGUGCGCAGGCGGCCUGUUAAGGCAGCGGGAAAAGCCCGGGGCCCAACCCCGGCGGGCCGGCGGAACUGCCGGGCUAGAGUGGGCGAGAAGUGCGCGGAAUGCGUGGUGUAGCGGUGAAAUGCAUAGAUAUCACGCAGAACUCCGAUUGCGAAGGCAGCGCACCGGCGCCCUACUGACGCUCAGGCACGAAAGCGUGGGUAUCGAACAGGAUUAGAUACCCCAGUAUA